GUGCUCGCCCUGGCAGCACAUAUACCAAAAUCAGAACGAUGCAGAGAUUAGCAUGGCCCCUGCACAAGGAUGACAUGUACAUUCGUGAAGUGUUCCAUAUUAAA